rnacentral:sRNA from 1 species
AUCUACCACUUACACACGCCGGUUCCUGUGCGCCGUCCCGCCCGCCUGGCGCCUGCUCGCGACGUCUGUUAGCA